AAGGGCACCACAAGAACGCGUGGAGCAUGUGGCUUAAUUUGACUCAACGCGGGAAAUCUUACCGGGUCCGGACACACUGAGGAUUGACAGACAUGUGUGUACGUAAAAAUACACACUGAAAGAUGCUAGUUCUUUCAUGAUUAUGUGAUAGGUGGUGCAUGGCCGUUCUUAGUUCGUGGAGUGAUCUGUCUGCUUAAUUGCGUUUCGUAUUUUUAAUGUCUGAUACACGUAUUCCGUGUUUGAUGACUAGUUUCGAAAGCAACGAACGUGACCGUAUCCUUUUAUCGCGCAUGCAUAUGCUAUGCUGCUCUUAAAGGGACCGCUGUUUCUUUCUUUUAAACCAGAGGAAGGUUACGGUAAUAACAGGUCUGUGAUGCCCUUCGAUGUUCCGGGCUGCUCACGUGCUACAAUGAUUAUUUCAUUAAGUGCGAAUGUGUUUCAACCUACUCUGAGAAUGAGCGGGUAAUCAAUUAGAAGUAAUGAUUUCCAAGUGUUAUACGCAAUCUAUGUAGUACCGUAUACAUCCCGUGUAUUUUAUUAUACGCGCGUGUGUGUGUAUGUUUGUCACUACGCGUACCUAUAUCAAUUCAUGGUGGGGAUAGACUAUUGUUAAUUGUUGGUCUCGGUUUUAACUAGGAAUGCCUUGUACGGGUCAUUGGUUCAACAAACCACCCGGAAUACGUCCCUGCCCUUUGUACGCACCGCCCGUCGCUCUUACCGAUGAACUUCGCUAUGAAUCUAUUGGACUGCACUCCCGUGCGGAAAGAUAUAUGAAUAGUGUGGUUUAAAGGAAAGAGAAGUCGUAACAAGGCAUCAGUAGGUGAACCUGCAGAAGGAUCA
rnacentral:rRNA from 1 species